UUGAGAAGUUCUAUGAGUUCCUCGCGGUCCAAUAAAGAACCUGCAGGAAACUUCACCCCCAGGAUGGACCAGAAGAACACCACAGGCAGUGGUGUGUGUUGUAUGUUGUGUUAUGUGUGUUGUGUUAUGUUAUGUCGUGUGUAUGUUGUGUAUAUUGUGCGUGUGUGUUAUGUUGUGUCGUGUGUAUUAUGUUGUGUAUGUUGUGUCGUGUGUUGUGUUGUGUAUAUUGUGUUGGUGUGUGUGUUGUGUCGUGUUAGGCUGACCUUCCUCCAGCCCACUGCUUCCAGCUGCCCAUUUCCAUCAAUCUACUCUGCAUCACCCUCACUAUACUUGAUUUGCUCGUCUACAUAUUUUUGAAUUUACCACCAGCUAUAUAUGUAGUAUAUUUAAUGCCAGAGCCAUACACCAUAGCAGUAAACUAUAAUCAGUUUCCAUGUUAGUUGUAUUUUGCAUGUAUCAUCUGUCUUAUCAUGCAUGUAUUAAACUGUGUGUUAUAUGGUCCUUGUGUCCCCCCCCACCUCUAUCCCUCUAUCUCUUCUGUCCCUCUCAACCCGUCCGGCCAGCAGCAGAUGGUUCCCCCACAUUAGAGCCGGGUUCUGCUCAAGGUUUUUUUCCCUGUUAAAAGGGUGUUUUCCUGCCACUGUCUCCUUAGGGCUUGCUCUGGGGUUCAGGCAUAUGGGUUCUGUAAAGCGUCUCGAGACAAUUUGACUGUAAUUGGCGCUAUAUAAAUAAAAUUGAAUUGAAUUGUGUUGUGUCGUGCGUGUUGUGUUGUGUGUUGUGCAUGUGUGUUGUGUUGUGUAUGUUGUGUCGUGUGUUGUGUUGUGUAUGUUGUGUCAUGUGUUGUGUUGUGUAAGUUGUGCGUGUGUGUUGUGUAUGUGUUGUGUAUGUUGUGUCUUGUGUAUGUUGUGCGUGUGUGUUGUGUAUGUUGUGUCAUGUGUCAUAUAUGUUGUGUCGUGUGUUGUGUAUGUUGUGUCGUGUGUUGUGCAUGUUGUGCGUGUGUGUAUGUUGUGUGUGUGUUGUGUAUGUUGUGUAUGUUGUGCAUGUGUUGUGUGUGUUGUGUAUGUUGUGUCGUGCAUGUUGUACAUGUGUAUUGUGUAUGUUGUGUGCGUGCAUGUGUGUUGUGUAUAUGUUGUGUUGUGUAUGUUGUGCAUGUGUUGUGUUACCAUCCUGAAGUUGUCUGGAUCCCAUUAAAACCUCCUGGAGCUCACAUGAAACCGUGUGGGCCCAGUUAGGGGUUUCCUCCUCACCAGAACCAGGACUAGACCAGAACCAGAGCAGAACCAGAACAGAACCAGUCCUGAACCAGUCCAGAACCAGGACAGAACCAGGACAGAACCAGGACAGAACCAGAGCAGAACCAGGGCAGAACCAGGACAAAAGCAGAACCAGGACAGAACCAGUUCAGAACCAGUGCAAAAUCAUGUCAGAAUGUAUUAUCUAUCCAGUUAUUUGACAGUAUUUUAUAUUAAUAUCCAGUUAUUUUAUAGUAUUUAUAUUAAUAUCCAGUUAUUUUAUAGUAUUUUAUAUUUAUAUCCAGCUAUUUUAUAGUAUUUAUAUUAAUAUCCAGGUAUUUGACAGUUUGUUACGUUAUUGUAUUGGUUUUUGACAUUCUAUGGAUUAAUAUUCAGGCGUUGUGUGUGUGUUGUUGUGUGUGUUGUGUAUAUGAUGAACCAUGUGUGGGUUCUCACCCAUCUCUCAGCCAAUCAGCUGCACCGCUCAGACCUGCCAGGACCAGUCAGAGGCGGCGUUUUCCAGGCCGAUCCUGGCGGUUUGGACGGAGGUUCAGCUCAGCGGAGGCCUCAGAUCUGAUUUAGUCUGUAAUGACGGUGAUGAGUGGAAACAUGUGGAGGGAAACAGACACACAACAUUACACACAACACAGACACACAGCACAGACACACAACACAGACACACAGCACAGACACACAACACAGACACACAGCACUGCACACCACUAACAGACACACACUGUGUUUAUUCUUUUUUAUUUAAAGGAAUUGUAUUAAUUGAAUCCACAAACAGAAGUGCAGAGUUUCUCCUGUUCCUCCUUUAGUCCAUUAAAUUACUUUUCACAAACUAAAGGAACAACGAGCAACUUUAUCUGAUAGAACCACAACAGAAACAGUUGCGGAUUAUUAUAAGACCAGUAGAGGUUGAUCAGACGAGGAUCCGGGUUGUUUUGGUGCCGUUCUUUGGUUGGUCAGAUGAAGAUCCAGGUUGUUUUGGAGGUUUUAUUGGUUCUCUUGCGGUUCAUACCAGGGUCCGCUCUGAGGCAUUGGAUCUAUUUCCUGGCUAAUCUGAUUCCAGACCUCCUGCUGCCAGCAUCGAUAAAUCCCAGGACCCGGUCCAGCAGAGCUCCCAGGUAUCUGGACCGGUCCUGCUCUCCGUGGGUGAUCCCAGCUCCCAUUAAAGGGUUCUGGUCCAGAACCAGCAGGACGGUUCCAACACGUGUUUCCACAUGAAGCAGUAUUUGGACACCAUAUGUAGUACUUUACCAGGCCAGCAGCUGGAGGUCGACCUGGCAGGAACCCUGACAGAACAAACACCAGAGAAGAAGAGGCUGGACCUGGACCUGGAUCUGGACCCGUUUCUGGUGACGUUAAUGGAUCCGGACGUUCAGGUUUCAGGUCUUAUCUCGGAUCUGGUUGUUUUGGAGCUGAACCAGGUCCCAGAUUAAACCUGGACCAGAUCUUCUGAGGUUCUUCUAAAUGGAUCCACCUGUUCCUGAUGAGCUGCAGGUCUCUGGUUCCAUCUGAUCAGAGCUGAAAUAAACCUGGAGACAGAUGGAGGAGGAAUCAGACCUGUUCAGAGAAACACCCAGAGGUCCACCAGCUGGAGAUAAAUCAGGUCUCAGACAUCUUCAUCUGGACCACCAAGAAACGCAGAAAAACUGAAAUUCAACACAGAAAGAUCCUAAAAAAAGGUUCAAAAUCCUGCUCAAACUAAAAAAAAAAACUUCACAGACCUAGUAGAAAAAAAAACACACAGAAUCAUUUUAAAACAUGAAUUCUCUUUAAAACCUCGUUAUUUAUCCAUAAAACCUCAUUAUUUAUCUAUAAAACUUCAUUAUUUAUCUUUACAAACUCAUUAAUCCUGUAUAAAGCCUCUUUAAUUCACGCUAAAUCCUCAUUAUUAAACCUUAAAACCUCAUUAAUUCUCUAUAAAACUUCAAAAAUGUCUGUUAAUAACGGUAAAAAAGAUAAAAUAUCAAUAAAACAUCUACAAAAAACAACCUCAAAGAGACAAAAAAAACAAAAAAAAAAUCACAGACAAAAAACAAAGACUGAACGACACCAAGUGUUUCAUGCUAGUGGCACCAUUAGCUGGCUAGCUGCUAGUGGCACCAUUAGCUCGCUAGCUGCUAACGUUAGCUCAUUAAAAAUAAACUGUUUCUGUCAUCAGGAGUUUAUAGAUUCCAUCUUUUAUUUCUUUGUUGUGUCGUUUUAAUGAUCAAUAAAAAGUUUUUCUAUCCCUUUAA